ACGGGAUGUCGUAAUAAAGAGUGAACCCCCAUAGUGUGCCUUUAAGUCCUGGAGUUCUAUAGUCAACAGAUCAGAAAUUGGCGAAAAAUUGGGUUUUUUAACCGCUGGUGUUCCUCCAACACCCUCUCCACAUACCCAGUGGAAGAUGUGACGCUGAGGACAAAGGACACGACAGCAAGGAUGUUUGGAAGAUCAGCUGCCUGUAGAACUGCCAUCCAGUUCUCUGCUGUUCCCUUGGACACCCAGUCAUCAGUGAGAUGCUUUAGAAUGUUGUUGGCAGUAACACACUCAUCAUAAAGCAUAUCCAUGGAGAUGUUUUGCCUGCCAACCAGGUGAAGCUGCCCAAUGAUCUUCUCCAUGCCAUCAUAAGAGAUCCUCCCAGAUGUCAGAGAGAGGGACUGUAGAUGGAAGAGCCAGUUGUCUUCUGAAAAAUUGAACCAUUUUUGUACAUUAUGGCAGUGUUUAAGAAGGCUGUGAACUCCUGUCUGGCAACAUCAGAUGGAGAAAGAUGAUGAAGCUUUUGUUUAGUUUGGUAGCCAUAGAACCCAUCAUCUCUUCUCUGAGAGAGUUUUGUCAGAAAAGAGUGCAUGAUGACAUAGAGGUCAGCUGAUGUGGUGUCAUUCCUCUUUUUGACCACCUCUUCAAAGAGGGUCAGGAUGUUGUUACAAAAGAGGAAAUACACCUCCACAAGAUCAGGCUCAUCGUCCUCAAGCAUCAGCAUCUCUUGUUAAUUUCAACAAUGUUUGCAGGUGCCUUGGACAGUCAACACCUAUGCUAAUAAAUAUAAGUAUAUAUACUC